rnacentral:misc_RNA from 1 species
UUAGAUACAAACGUAUUGUUCUUUUUAUUGAGCCCAAUAGAUCCUUUAAGCACUUAGAAAAGUAGAUAAUUUCCUCCAAAAUUUAAUACGGUAUAAACAACUUGUAAUUUAAGAAUGACCGUGCUAAUUACUCUGGGGGAAAAAAAAAGAAAGAAUUUUAAAUAAAAAGAACAAUACGUUUGUAUCUAACUACUAAUGCACAAGCAAUCUGAAUGAGAAUCCUUCUGUCCCCAGGGAAUCUGGUCAAAGAUAUUUUGAUGUUUGCUCCACUAAUGACCCUAGUGAAAUUUAGCCUGGAUGAGCACAAUUGCUUACUUUUCAUUGAUCCCUUCCUUUCAGAAAAUGCAGAAGACAUCUAUGGAAGACAACUUUCAUCCUAUAAGCGACCUAUUCCAAAUGGAGCUUAUUCAUUCUCAUCAUCUGAACUAGAAUUUUCAAUCUUUCGCUCUUGAAUUGCUGGAAAUAGCCGGGUUCGAAAAUCAGGAGAAGGUUGUUGGCUGGUUGAAGAGUUAGAUGAUGCAGUUGAUGACUCUUUUUUCAGUAAUUUUUCUGACCUCUUUUGUGCCUCUCCCACCUGCUUGCACACCUUAUCUAAGAUGAUCAAGAA